rnacentral:miRNA from 1 species
UGAUAAUGAUGAUGAUGAUGAUGAUGAUGAUGAUGAUGAUGAUUUCAUCAUAUGAAUGGUAGUAAUAUUUGAGGAACAACACACCAUUAUCAUCACCACCACCACCACAG